UAUCGUUUUAUGUAGUCGCUCUUUGUCGCGACUAUCGUUUGUCGUGGCUAUGGUUGUUUUGCCGUUCGUUUCGUGUUAUGUAAUAGGCCCCUAGGUGAUGAUACUCAUUAUGUAGAAAUGUCCUAUAUGAUCACCAUUUUUCAACCGUUACGGCUGUCGACCGGUAACAAUAGCCAGAUCAAUAUUAGCUUCGAUAUAAUGCAUCAUCAUCAGUAUGUUCCCUCAGAAUCUCCUCACACCUAUUUUCACAAUCGAUAUUGGAAUUGGCUUCGGCUUUGGUCUAAUCUAUCUACGAGCCAUUGUCAGUGUUACGAUGUAUUUUGAGAAAUAAUAUCGAUCUCUGGCAACCGGUAUUGCUGUGUGCAGUUCUGGAUUCGUCUUCUAUGCUCAAAAUAUGCGGAAUAGUCCUUAAUUGCAUAAUUUUCGCUGCAAUGUUUCGACCAAUCGAACCACCUAAAAUUGAUUGAAGGAGAAAGUGCUGAAAUGGCUGAACUUGCACCGCUUAAUUCAAGAAAAUCGGAUCAGUUCCUACAAAUACCCCGAAGUGAUACGAAUCUUUCACGACGGUAUAGUGGUGGUCAUGAUUUUGGUUACGAAUUCCAUACAACAAAUCAAAAUGGUAAAUUAUCCAUUCCGACGAUCAGUAGCAAUAAUAACAUCCGUUCUGCAACUAGCCAACCACACCUUAAUGAUGAGGGCCAACAGGAACCGGUUCAAGGGUCCCAAAAGAAAUUUGGCAAAGGGAUGAUGUAUCGAAAAGAUAUCCUUUAUCAGGGUUCCCUACGUGAAUUGAUAUGGCUCGUUGAAACACAGCAUACACAAAGUAGACUCAACUCAGGUAAGAUAAAGAAAUUUUGAUGAAAAAAUAUGUAAUCUGUAAUAUAAAUCUUCUGAAUAUUUGCUUAGCUUAUAACCUACUAAUCGUGUUUAGUUUUUUUUUCAAAACUGUUUAACGUAUGAUAAAAAAAAAUCUGGCAUCAGUUGGAUCCGGCUAGAGGUUGUUGACAUUUUAGCACCUGAGAAUUGAAUGUUCAAUGUUUACAUAGACAACACGUUUCCUCGUAUCUUAUUAGGGAAAUAAGAUUUUUCACUAGCAGUGUUUACAAAAUUUAUAGGAUUUGUAAAAGUCGUAAAUUAUUUUAAAAAACAGCUCUAAAGAUUUUGAAAAUAUAUUUUUAUAAAUUUCUUAUUUUUUUUUUUGCUUGAAUUUUAUUUUUUUUCAUAUAAAAUUUAAAUAGGUAUAAAAAUUUCUAUAUAAAAACUCUUACGAAUUUUAGACACUUGAACCCUAAGAGCAAGUGCGUUUUAUUUAUUGCAUGUUUCUUUUUCGCAGUGAAUUUCUUCAUUUUCAUCAUAUAAGUCAUCAUGCGAUAGACAUAUAUUGUGCAUAAUACAUGCACUCAUUAUUAUUUUUGUAACCACUUAAAUCCGUUUGUUCUGUGAACUUUAAAAGUCUUCGGAAUCGUCCUUUAAUUAAUCCAAAUGUGUUUUCUACGACAAUCCUCGUUGACGAAUGGCUAUAGUUGAAUCGCCUUUGAGCAUCGGUAAGAUUUCCAGUAUCUUUAAAUGGUGGUACUAGCCAACUUUUUGAAGGGUACGCCGAAUCACCCAAAAAAAAGUAACUGUUAGGAAACAGUUCAAUAUAAUCUGUUUCUGCCCUUGAGUACAAUUCAGAUCUCCGUAAAACCCUGCUGUCGUGAAGGGAACCUGGUUCACCAACAGUUAUGUCGAUGAACUUUUUCUCAGCAUCCACAACUGCUUGAAUAACUAGGCUAUAGUUUUGCUUUCUAUCAAAAUAGCAAUGCUUAUUGUAAGUAGGUGCUUUUAUUGCAAUAUGGGUGCAGUCAAUCGCACCAAUUAUAUCUGGUAUCUAUUUUUUGCUUUCAAAUUUCCGCUCUACUUCGUCUGAAAAAGAACCUUGUGGCCACUGGACGUACUCGCUUCCAAUCGAAAUUACAAAGCCAGCAACGCGGUUUACAGACAGCCAUGUUGAUAACUUUGCAAUGCCGAACUGAUUUCCAAGUUGCCGAAAUGUGUCCGUGUUGCAAACAUACCAGAUAUAGACAUAAAUUGCUUUCUUAUUGCCAAUUCUAGGUCUUCCACCUCCAAUUUCAUCUACCGAAUAGCUUGAUUGCGAAAAUCUCGCUGCAAAAUAUAUUAUUCAUGAAAUUACCUAUUACAAUUUAUACUUUUUCAUUACAAUAUUACUGCUUACAUAUAAGAUAAUCGACCGUAGGUCGCUUAAGCCUCAUAUGAGAUUUAAAAUCAUCUUCACUGAAAAGGUCAAUUGUAUCAGCAAAGUUGACACAUUUCGGAUGAUCCUCCGUAUCGAAAUCGGAAUCAUCUGAACUUGAAUCAUUCUCAUGAUUUGAUAUUAAGGUCAGCAUCGACAAAACAUCAUCAAUUUCUUGAUCUUGCUGUUGCCGGCGAAGGCUUUGCCGUGAUGCGUCCUCCAACUAUAAUGCAUAGACCUAAAAGUUCACCAAAUUAAAAAGUUUUAAGUUUAUUUGUAUUGAAAUUACUUCUCUUACUGAAUUUUCCAUUUUUUUUUUUAAUUUAUCAAAUUUUGAAUUUGUACGUUAUUUUUGUAUUUCAAGGACUACUUCGUUAUACUUUUAAAUUUAGUUUUUUUUUAUUAACAAUAAAUUCAAAUUGAAAAAAAGUACACUAGAUGGUGAACUGAUUUUUGACCUAUCAAGUUCGUCGCUUGUGGAUAGAUUUCUUUUUGUUUUGAAAAAAAAAAAAAAAUAAAUAAAUGGCAGAGCAAAUUAAAAGGUAAGUCGAUAUUUAUUUCACUUUUACCCAAAAAUCCAAAAAAAAAAAUUUGAUAAACGAUCGCAAAAAGUGGUCCAAAACAGAAGUUCUUGGGCUGCUUAGGAUUUAUGGUGCCAGAAAGGAGGAAAUUAACAAUUUUAGAAAACAAAACGAAGCAUAUAAGCAUGUUCUGGAGGACAUGAUCUACCAAAAUGACUCUUCUACAACAGUAGAGGGAAUCCCGAAACAAAAUGAAGUCUUUUGAAUGCUUACAAGACGGCUAAAGACAAUCAGAGGAGGACGGGUGCUGCUCCAGUCGUGAUCCCAUACAUGACGGAGUUGGAAGAAUUAUUUGGCGAUAAACCCAAUGUGUCCAACAACCAUACUUUGCAAUUAGGAGUGGCAGAAAUAAACGAAACGGUAGAAGCAGAUUAUUUGGACAUAGAGGUUUUGGACGAAGAGCUGCCAGCUUCAAAUUCAAACCCAACAGUCACCGAUAGACCCCAAGUUUUAGCAGCCGCACACUGGGGAUUUUGCGGAAAAAAGUCCAAAAUUUUAGGUACCUCGGAGAACAUUUUCUAUAGUAUUUCUAAAUUCUAGAAUAAAAUCUGAAUCAAAAUCAGAAAGAAUUACUAAAAUCGGACUUGUAGUUUACUUUUUAGAGCUUUAUGAAGGGACAAGUUGUUGAAAGUAUAAAAAACGAGGUGAAAAUACCCUGAAAUUAAAGCUGUGUAUUUUUUUUUUGCUUGAGCCAAAUCAUAGACUUUUAUU